UAAUGAUACAGCUAAUGUACUGGACACACUUGACUCUAAUGGUAGAGUCAGAAAGGAACUUUUUUUUUUUUAAUUUCAUUGUUCCUUUAUGUUUAUUCAGUUAAGUUGGUUCUUUCCUAGACCCUGAAAAUGUAUGCAAUUUAGUGAAUUUUCUGGGGAAUCUUAAGUGAUUCAGAGUCUAAAUCCAAAAAGCAAAAUGUCCAGUCCCAUGUAAGAGCCAUCAAUUUUCAUUAAAAGGCACAACUUGAUUUAAAGUUGAAGCUAAGGGGGGCACUUGUGAUGAGCACCAGGUGUUGUAUGUAAGUGAUGAAUCACUGAAUUCUACUCCUGAAACCAUUAUUGCACUUUUCAAUUUAAAAAAGAAAAGGAAAAAGGGAAAAAAGUUGAAGCUUCUCUUCCUCUUGAAAGCUUGUGUCCCCAGACAGGUGGGAUCUCAGUAGCUAUGUGAUGUGUUCUUGUUCUCAUGCCUGCCUAACUUUCAGUUGCUCCUCUCUUCUUGCUAACUUGUUUCUGAUCUUUCUCAUGUUGGUGGCAGGGGGAGGAAGGAGAGGGUGGAGAAGACAGGGGCAUUUUGCUUGCUUGGCACUGUGGAGGUGAUGGUGAUGUGCUCUGGUAUGGUAGGCAUUAAAGCUGAUUCUUGUUUGCAUGGGCACAUGUGUGAUGAUCCCCAUGUUACAAUUCCUGCAAUUCCUCUGACGUGAGCAAAUAUUUUUAUUUAGUCUAGUUGUUCAUUUCCUCUAUUGCUCCUAGGAAUGAAAGCCCUUGCUUCUUUCUGUGGAUGCUUGUUCUUUGUCCUGCAGGCACUCUUAGUAUAUACAAUUCCCCAUACAGUUCUCUCUCCUACAUGAGACUCACAUUUGGUCCAUGAGAAACACUCAUACAUCCUUUGCACUGAUAAAUUCCCAGAAAACAGUUCUGUCCUGCUUAGGCUACUUUAGUCAGCCUCUUGCCCCUAUGUUCUUAACAGUCAGAACAUUGCCUCCUUAAAGCUACUGCCUUUUGGACUUAGGUGAAGGGUUAACAAUUCUUUGACAUUCUUUUUCUUUCUUUCUUUCGUUUCCUUCCUUCCUUCCUUCCUUCCUUCCUUCCUUCCUUCCUUCCUUCCUUCCUUCCUCUCUCUCUCUCUCUCUCUCUCUCUCUCUCUCUCUCUCUCUCUCUCUGAAAUUCUUUCUUUAAAAAUUCCCCUCUGGGUUUCUGUAGUGCUGGCAAUGAUCUGUUUCUGGAUAUGUGGUGUUGGAUGUUGUAUGAUGCUUACUUAAUACACUGUGUAUUACAUUUACAUUUUUUAACUUUUCUGUGUGUUAGACCUCAGUAAUACUAGUUAAGAAAAACAAUAGUCCAAAUAAUCUCAUCCAGGUGCUGAAAAUAUACAGCAAGUCUCCUCCUUCAUAAUCUCCCAACUCCCAGUCUUUAUAACCUGUCAAUUCAGCAUCUUCUCUCUGGUUCUUAGAUUCUUUGAACAGUUUUGGACUUGUUCUAGUUCCUCAUUUUAGGAAAUGUUCCAAGUGAAACUUGUAUUUUCAUACCUGUAUGUUUAUUUUAACUAUGACUUCAUGAAUAUUGAUAUCAAAUACUGUUGUUAAGCCUUUUAACUAUAUCAAGAAAUCUUGCAGACUCAAAAAGGUUAAGAAUUGUUACCAUCAUUUUACAAAGAAGACACUAAGGCUAUAGGGGUCCAAAAACGUGCCCAAAGUUGCAAGACAAAUACAUGACUGUACCAAGAUUUGGACCAAAUGUUUUCUGAUUUCAAAGCCCAUGCUUUUUCCUCUGAGACUAUUUUCAAUCUCAGAAUAAGGAUUGUCAAAUGUAUGACUUGAAGAUGACGACAAAACAUGCAGUGAAGGAGUAACUGCUCACAUGUCAGGUUUCCAUGUUUCUCCCAUUUGCUGGAGUCAGAGAGCAGCUGUUUAUUCACUCGAGCUCUGAUGAACAAAGCCUGCUUGAAACCAGAAGAAAUUGUCUGGAGAGGAAUAAUUUUGUGAGCCUUAUUUCCUCUGUACAAGUCAACUGGUUGUUAUUUAAAUAUAUUUGGAAUGAGAAAGUUGAUGUGGAAUCCUGGAAUUUGUGGCCUGUUGUGUGAAUUUGGCAGGUGUGUAUGGCUUAUCAGGGAACUGAAAAAUUGGGCUAAAUAGACACAUUUCUGGAGUGUGAACUGCACAGCAGGUGAUCUCUGAAGCAGACAGCCAGCAGAGUGGCCUUUUUCCUCCAGAUCUCUCCCCUGUAUGGCUAGGAAAAAAAAGAGAGAAACCUAAACACUGAAUACAGCAAAUGGAUUUCUGAACCACGUGUCUCUUGCAGCAGAUGUGGAAAUUGAGGCCAGUGAGAUGAAAUAACUUAUCCAAGGCCACCCAGCAAAUGAAGAGUGGAAUGAGGAUGUGCACUUAGAAUCCCUGCUCUAAGUGUCAACACCCUUCCUCACCAUGUUGUGGUUUGCCGAUUGGAUAAGGAAGACUUCCAAGGCCCCUUCUGUGGCCUCUCCUGUCCACAGUCUGCACCUGUCCUCUCAUUUGUGGUGAAACAGAGAAGUGUGUCUAACACAAAGUGAACAGGAAAUAAGGAAGUGUUUUUAUGCACAGAGAAUGCAACUGCUGUCCAAAGUCAGUUAAUUAAAAAACAUCAAUCUAUGCAAACAUGAAGAAAUGGCCCAGCGGGAAAUUGGACCAAUUUGGAGUUUGUCCUAUUCGCCUCAUAGAAGAAAGCAGAGAGUUACCCAUAGUCACCAGGGAUGCACACUAAGUUUGAAGAGAUUUAUUCUGGAAAUUAAUAAUGAUCUCAUAUUGCAGAUGAGAGCUCUGAAGCUAGAGAGGUGUGUAAUGAUAGAAACCCCUUGAGGCAAAAAUCAAGUUUUCAGCUGCUUAUGGCGACUGCUUAUGGAUCAAUAAAUUCUGGCUCAAAAGAUCUGCUUGGACAUCAUGAUAACAUGGGGACAUUGCCAAGAAGUGCGAUUCAGCCAUCAAAACUUGGGUAUAAGGAGAAGAGAAUGCGCCAAGUGGGUAUUCCCAAGUGUUAGAUUGGAUUGGAUUCUAAUUUACUAGUGGUUCCAUUGUGUUUGUGAAAAGUACAGAUUCCUGAAUUAUUGUCUCAGAAAUUAUAUUUCAUAGGUCCGAGGUAAGGCUUUGGAAUCUGCAUUUUAGCAAGCUUCCUGGGUGGUUCUGAUGAAGUGGUUCUUAGCACUAUAAUUAGUUGCUUAUUAGCUAACACUAUUAGCUAUCAUGCAUAUUAUUUAUUAGACUAUUGGUUGGUUAUUAGCCAACACUAUUGCUCUGAGAAUUUUAAGGGACAUAGGCUGGCAGAUAGCCCAGAGCACUGACAGCACAAUUUGGAGCCAGUACUACUAAGGGAAUUCAAAUAAGUGAAAAAUACCUUGUAGGCAAGAAAAGUGUGGAAUGAAUUAGAAAGUUUUUAUUUUUUUUCCAAAGCUAUUCAAAGGGUGGAAUAAUGACCUGCUAAAGUGAAAAUUAGGUUGUGAAAGCCAAGGCAUGGAUUAUUUUAAGGGGAUGGUUAUUGGGGCGCCUGGGUGGCUCAGUCAGUUAAGUGUCCAACUUUGGCUCAGGUCAUGAUCUCACAGUUCUUGGGUUCAAGCCCCGUGUUGGGCUCUGUGCUGACAGCUCAGAGCCUGGAGUCUGCUGUGUCUCCCUCUCUCUCUGCCCUUCUCCCACUCACACUCUGUCUCUCAAAACUAAAUAAACAUUAAAGAAAUAAAUAAAGGGGAGACAGUCAUUUAGAUUUUGAGUGGAGAAUAUAAUGGAAGAAUGUGGAACUACAAAUGUUUUUUAGGGGAUGGGAUAUAAAAAUGUACAUUUAAGAAAAAGAUAGGAAAGGCCUUCAGCCUUAUUGUACAGGGGUGCUGGAAAAAUAUUAGCAUCAGUACUUGCCAUUUCCAAAAGUAAGGACAUUUUUUUGAAAAUAAAAUUUCUGUUACUUAUUUCUGUGGAACAUCACCACACACUAUACACACGUCUUAGGCCAUUGUUUGAAUUCCCGUGUGUGUUCUUUGUGACUUCAAGAUAAUCUCUCUUCUGGAUUAUUUACCUGAAGUGCCUUAGAAAGCCAAACAGGACAAGGAUGCUCUUGUCAGUGAACCAAGGAGUCUCAAUUGUUUGAUUGCUUAGAGUGAAAACGCUGGGGGGUGGGGGGCACGGAAUCUCGAAUUUAUUUAAAUUUGAAAUAUGCUUUGGCAUAAAAUAACUGCUCGACAAA